CACCUGACCUCAAGUGAUCUGCCUGCCUCGGCCUCCCAAAGUGCUGGGAUUACAGGCAUGAGCCACUGCGCCUGACAAUUACCACCUUCUGUUUCAUGGUUUUUAACACGAGAGCUAAUGCCAAAUAAAGAGACAACUGCCUAUUUCUCUUUCAUUUUAUAUUACCCAGUAUAUACUAUCCCCAAAAAUGUUAAGAGUCUAAAACAGACUCACAGGCCAUUUACUUGGUAAGCUGUGUUGGACAAAGAUCAUUUUAUUUCAGAAAAAAAAUGGCUUCAUCUUUAAGGAGUUCUGCAAUUACAAUCAAAAGACAAUCUCACUGACUAUCACAGGUUCUUUAUACUUCUAGGUAUUUUGAGAUAUUAAUAGUAUUUGUGGAAAUAAUAUUUUUUGUAAACUGUCAUAGCAGCUUUAAAAUAUAGUCCACUGAGUUUUGCAGAAGCAAAUUCUUUUCUUUCUGAAGAUGGCACUACAUGAGUAAAUGCUAAGUGUUUUCACUGUUUGCAUUUCUACAGACCAUCUGUAUACCAUCCAAACAUGUUAGAAAACUCAUUAGAAAGCUAUGAGAGGGUGUUAUGGCUUGAAUAUUUGUCUCCUUCAAAAUUCACAUUGAAAUGUAAUCCCCCAAUGUGGCAAUAUUGAGGUGGGGCCUUUAAGAGGUGACUGGGCCAUGAGGGCCCUGUCAUCAUAAAUGGGUUAACCCAUUCAUGGAUUCAUAGGUAAUCAUGGGAGUGGGACUGGUGGCCAAAAGGAAAAGAGACAUGAGCUAGCAUGCUCACCCCCUCACCAGGUGAUGCCCUGCACCAGGACUCUGAAGAGAGCCCCCAUCAACCAGAAAGUCCCCCACCAGAUGUGGUCCCUUAUUCUUGAACGUCUCAGCUUCCACAAGUGUAAAAAACAAAUCCCUUCUCUUUAUAAAUUACCCAGUUUCGGGUAUUCUAUUAAGAGCAACAGAAAAAGGACUGAGAGGGUCAAAAUGAAUUCCUCUUCUAUCUCAUGUCAAACAAUCCAGCCAAACAAAUGACAAAACAUUUUGCUCUUUCCCACGUAGCUUAAGGAAUAUAUUCUACACUCCUCUCCAUUAAGACUCUUUAAGUCGAGAGCUCUCAGCGCCGCUCCCAGCCACAGCCUCCCGCGUCUCGCUCAGCAACAACAUGGCAGAAGUCUCCAGCCCUACAGAAACUGAGCGGUGCCUCGAGUCCCUGAUUGCUGUUUGCCAGAAGUAUGCUGGAAAGGAUGGUUAUAACUAUACUCUCUCCAAGACGGAGUUCCUAAGCUUCAUGAAUACAGAACUGGCUGCCUUCACAAAGAACCAGAAGGACCCCGGUGUCCUUGACCGCAUGAUGAAGAGACUGGAUACCAACAGUGAUGGACAGCUAGAUUUCUCAGAAUUUCCUAAUCUGAUUAGUGGCCUAGCUAUGGCUUGCCAUGACUCCUUCCUCAAGGCUGUCCCUUCCCAGAAGCGGAUCUGAGGACCCCUUGGGCCUGGCCUUCAAACCCAUCCCCUUUCCUUCCAGCCUUUCUGUCAUCAUCUCCAUAGCCCACACAUCCCCUGAGCCCAGCAUACCAACCACCUCAUGCAGGCCCCAACUGCCAAUAGUAAUAAAACAAUGUCACUUUUUUAAAACAUGAAAAAAAAAAAAAAAAAAGACUCUUUAAGUCCAAAAUAAAGU